CGAACGAUGAAACCGCUUCGGUGGUGGAUUAGUGGCGAACGGGUGAGUAACACGUGGGCAAUCUGCCCUUCACUCUGGGACAAGCCCUGGAAACGGGGUCUAAUACCGGAUAAUACUCCUGCCUGCAUGGGUGGGGGUUGAAAGCUCCGGCGGUGAAGGAUGAGCCCGCGGCCUAUCAGCUUGUUGGUGGGGUAAUGGCCUACCAAGGCGACGACGGGUAGCCGGCCUGAGAGGGCGACCGGCCACACUGGGACUGAGACACGGCCCAGACUCCUACGGGAGGCAGCAGUGGGGAAUAUUGCACAAUGGGCGAAAGCCUGAUGCAGCGACGCCGCGUGAGGGAUGACGGCCUUCGGGUUGUAAACCUCUUUCAGCAGGGAAGAAGCGCAAGUGACGGUACCUGCAGAAGAAGCGCCGGCUAACUACGUGCCAGCAGCCGCGGUAAUACGUAGGGCGCAAGCGUUGUCCGGAAUUAUUGGGCGUAAAGAGCUCGUAGGCGGCUUGUCACGUCGGAUGUGAAAGCCCGGGGCUUAACCCCGGGUCUGCAUUCGAUACGGGCUAGCUAGAGUGUGGUAGGGGAGAUCGGAAUUCCUGGUGUAGCGGUGAAAUGCGCAGAUAUCAGGAGGAACACCGGUGGCGAAGGCGGAUCUCUGGGCCAUUACUGACGCUGAGGAGCGAAAGCGUGGGGAGCGAACAGGAUUAGAUACCCUGGUAGUCCACGCCGUA
rnacentral:rRNA from 1 species